UACGUAGGGGGCAAGCGUUAUCCGGAUUUACUGGGUGUAAAGGGAGCGUAGACGGACUUGCAAGUCUGAUGUGAAAAUCCGGGGCCCAACCCCGGAACUGCAUUGGAAACUGUAUAUCUAGAGUGUCGGAGAGGCAAGUGGAAUUCCUGGUGUAGCGGUGAAAUGCGUAGAUAUCAGGAGGAACACCAGUGGCGAAGGCGGCUUGCUGGACGAUGUCUGACGUUGAGGCUCGAAAGCGUGGGGAGCAAACAGG
rnacentral:rRNA from 1 species